UGUAUUGCUAUUUUAGUCAUAGAUGCAUGAUUUUUUAUCAGUUAGUAUAGACGUUAAUUAAGCUGUCAAUAACUGCGAGUAUACACUCAGAUUUGUAUUUAGUGUCUUCAUGUGUAAUGAUGCAUAUGUAUAAGUAUCAUGUCACGUCUAUUCUGUGUUUUUUUGCAUUUGCAACUUGUUCUUAGGGGACGACCAUUUGAUAUUCGGAAGGGGGGGGGUGUUGUUCUGUGGUAGUUUGGAAAUAAGUCACCUGACUUGCAAUGUAUUGAAAAUCAAUAACUCAGCACUGGUCUAAUUGAAAGUAUCAGAUGGCCCC
rnacentral:lncRNA from 1 species